UGUCAGCUAUAAAUGUGACACGUGUGCGAUUACAGAAGUUUGCACAGAUAGACGCAUCCGAACUUGGAGUUUGGCCGUCUGAAACUCGAUUGGUUUAAAUGACUCGAAAAAGUUUGAGUUACGCGAGUUGCAAAUUUAAACCGCUCGAUUGCUCGAGCAUCGUCGCUCGUAUACAUGAUUUGCCACUCACAAAAGAAACAUGUAGCUAUACUUUCCACACUUAUUCUCUUUCUACUUUCUCUCGUGGAGGUAAAAAGCGCGGCCAGAAGAAACGAACGCUCUCACCGUAGCAUCAAUAACAGUGAUGAGAUUAUUUGCGGGAUAAUACUGGGUGGUAAGAGAGUAGAAUGAAAUCUUGAUUAUUAAUGAAAAACUGAUGUAUUUUUAUAUGCGACACAUGUGUGUGUAUGUCACAUAUAAUUAUCUAUUAAAAUCGAUCGUUUGGUUCGUACAAAUAUUCGUUCGAACAGAAAGUAUCAUUUAUUGUAAUAUUACCUUUGUUGCAAUGCCAGUAAUAUAUGCACUAAAAGUCCCGUUUUCUUACAAACUCGCCUUACAUAUAAAAUGCGUACAUAUAACAAUUAUCGUAUAUAUUUACGUAUACAAAAGAUUUGCUUUUUCCGUGUACGUAUAUAUUA